GGAUCAGUCAGUCGACGUGUGCAUUAUUCUCGUAUGUGUUGCGACUAUUUCGGAUUCUAGAAUCUUCCGUUUUAGAGCGACAUGGUUUUCCAGGCAGCUUAGUUUUCUGACUACCUUGCGCUUUGACGGCUUCGAACUCUGUUUUCUGUUGCAAAACUGGGUUUUUGGUGUGUUUUAAGUGUUGGUCGUGGUGACGAGAGCAAAGAGAUGGGAAUGGUUUUGUCUGUGACGCGACGAGCCUGAGUUGUUGAUGAUCCGUUAGAUUGUGGAGGUUUGUUUUCUUGCUGCUGUGAAGUUGCGUGGGCCUACGGUCGUAGUCCGUGAAGAAAACUUGGAAAUCGGCCAUAUGGCGGAGGCACCACAGGUUUUGCCUAUGGACAUGUCCAAGGACGCUCAGUCGCAGCAGCAGCAGCAGCAGCAGCAAACAGAGAAUCAGAAGAGCGGGUUGGAUCGUUACGAAUCGGUCCGUGCCCGACUACUUAAGAUUUCACAGGGUGAAGUAGCAGGAGAAGCCUCGCCUGAAUCUCAUGUGGAGAACAAAGCAAGUCCGAAGUCGACUCACCAGAGUAACGAGGAAGAUGAGUUCCGGCGCAAGUUGAUGUCAAUUUCAUAUGUCGAUGUCCCUUUGCCAGCCCAGUAGGCCAAUGUUGAAGAAGGUUGAGCUCUCGGUGGAACCUUGCCUGUCGAGGGAGCUAUGUACUGGAGAUGAUAUGCGAUGCAUAUUGCUCUAGACAUUGUAAAGUUUGGAUUUUAGAUACCAUAAAAUGUGCUAAGAUUGGGGAUCAGUAGAGCAAUCGUUUCUCAAGGCAGAAAUCUGCCUUUCGAACGAUAAGAAUAUGGUCAGGUGGGUCUACAACCCAUCAAGGUGAAGCAGUAUCAUGUUGUAACUUUUAGGGGUUGGAGGUUUGCUGAGGUUUUACUAUGUAGGUUUGGAACACGCGUUCACCUUGAAUCUUGUAAAGUUGAAGGAACGGAAUGCAUUGUCUACAUAAAAAAGUAAAAAUAAAAAUGGGUGUUUGUGUCGUUGCAAUGGCACACUUUUUUCAGGAUUAA